GUGGAUCACUCCUGAUGCAUCUGAUAUUUCAAGAAAAUUCGAUGCAUUUAAAUGCAUUCAAAUGUUCACUUCCAGAAAAUUUGCAAAUCAUGGCUUGCUCAAACGUAUGGCUGUUGUCUUUGUCAAACUGUCAAACGUAUCAUUCCAAAAACUCAACAAGAGCUGGUACCUCAUCAAUAAAUUGUAGCAACAAACGUUCAACUUAUAGUUUAACCCAAGGUUUUGUAUUUCUUCCAGAUUAUCGGAAUUUGGGUAUCGACCUUGGUAUCGACUUUGAAAGAUGUCCUACAUAUUUUCGUGAACAGUUAAGGAUGAGAGCAUAUAGAAGGGGAAGAGCGAACAUCUCCAUUGAUAAAUCAAAGCCAUGAUGGCCUAGUUUGCUAUCCUGGCAAUCCUUUCAAUGAACCAUGGUGCAAAAAGGAAUAGUCAGGGUUGUGGACAUGAAGAAGUCAAUCUAGCUACAUUAUGUGGAAAAAUAUUCAAUAAGCCACACAAACUAUGGAAAGAAUGAAUAUUAAAAUCAACUGAAGUAUCAUUCGCACUCCCAACUAUCAUUAAAGCAAAUAAAACGAGUUGUUUGGUCAAAAAAAAAUAUAUUUUUGGUUUGUUCUUUUCUAUCCAACUAAAUGUGAGUUCUGCAACUCUAUGCAGAUCCGUCCAGUCAAAUAAUAGUGUUGGCAGCUCAGUUAUUUCGAAGCGUUCCACUUCAGUAAAGUGAACAAACAUCACAGACUGUGGGCUUGACGAGGAGAUUCUACCUACCCCUGCUUGCAAAAAGUUCCGUUUUCUAUAUGGACGCAGUACAACACUCAUGACAAAAAUAUUCCUUAACAUAAUGCUUUGAAGAUCCGGUGGAAAUCCUUUU
rnacentral:lncRNA from 1 species